GACGAACGCUGGCGGCGUGCUUAACACAUGCAAGUCGAGCGACGAAGCUUCCUUCGCGAAGUGGAUUAGCGGCGGACGGGUGAGGAACACGUGGGCAACCUGCCUCAAAGCGGGGAAUUGCAUUCCGACAGGGCGAUUAAUACCGCAUAAUAUGAGAGAAUCGCAGGAUUUUCUGAUCAAAGAUUUAUUGCUUUGAGAUGGACUCGCGGCGCAGUAGCUAGUUGGUAAGGUAACGUCUUACCAAGGCAACGAUGCGUAGCCGACCUGAGAGGGUGAUCGGCCACAUUGGAACUGAGACUCGGUCCAGACGCCUACGGGAGGCAGCAGUGGGGAAUAUUGCGCAAUGGGGAAACCCUGACGCAGCAACGCCGCGUGGGUGAUGAAGGUCUUCGGAUUGUAAAGCCCUGUUUUCUGGGACGAGAAUGACGGUACCAGAGGAGGAAGCCACGGCUAACUACGUGCCAGCAGCCGCAGUAA
rnacentral:rRNA from 1 species